rnacentral:lncRNA from 1 species
GGAGGAAGCGCCCCACCCGGCCGCCCGCAUUUCCCCGAGGUCCUUGCAGCUGCGCGCGGAUCCGGAAGUGUUGGCAAUGGACCUGGCCCCGCCCUGCGGUCACAGUGGACCUGACACUCCCCGGGGCCCAGGUGUUCCCUAACCGGCCCGGGACGGCUGGGCUGGGCUCGGAAAAUGACUUGGCCUCGGGCCGUCUGCUCUCCUCUGGAGCGAAAGUAUUCUUACCUUGGCCCCAGAAUCCCGGAGGAACCUCAGGGUGAAGUUCGGGGAGUACUGUUGUUGAGAAUAGCAAGGUCCCGUAACCCCCUACAAUCCGCUCCCUUCUCACCGACCACGGAAGCCCCAGGUUUCUUAGAGGAACUAGGUGGAGGCGGCACUUGGAAGGUCUGCAGGUUCGAGCGCUGCCGCUGGCAGUAACCGAAGACUUCAGCAGACACAAAAUCAAGUUGAGGAGGUAUUGCUCUAAGACUCUCAAGUGUGAAUUCUAAAUAAACAUGGGUACACCCUGCAGAUAAUGCUGUUUAGAAAAAGUAUUAUAAAUGUGUGACUGUAAACUUUGACAGUGUUAUAAAUGUAAUAAAAAGUCUGUCCCCUUCUGUUUUUAGAAGCCAUGAUCUAAGCAAAAGUCAGACUCCCUGGUUUCAUGCUUAUUUUUCUGCAAGGGAAUCACAUACCUAAAACAGAAACAUUCCCCAAGAACCACUUUGUAAAAAUAGGAUAAUAAAGUUUUAAGGAUUCGGGCUAAAGAUUGUUCAAGCCAGAAAUGAAUCCCUUCCGAUGAGACAUUUUUCCAGAAUGCUUUGUCCUGCAGCCUGACCCACCAGUCACCUGACCUGAGCAACUCUAGGAAACAUUCAUCUCUGAGGUUGGCAAGAGAGGCACAGGCAGAUGCUGACUAACUGUCCUAGCCCAACAAAUCUGUAUCUGUAGAAUUCUUGACUUUCACAACAUUUUUUGUUCUGCCCAAUAUAUGCAGAACUGAAAACAGAUUGUGUGAAAAAUUGGGACUCAUAUUUCCCUAUUCCUAAAAGCAGUCACUGUCUGCAUUUAGCUACACUAAAAACUAGAGUUAAAAGGUAGAUACCAUUGUUAAAUCGUAGUAAUGCUUUGAUUGGGUAUUUUGUUUAUGAACUUAAUUAUCACAAUUUUAGAUUUUUCACAUUGAAAGCCAUUUAAAUCUGUCCUGCUUGAAUCUUGUUUACUUACGAAAUCAAAAUCCAAUCUUUUUUUUAUCCAAAGGAAUUUCAAAGAGUUGUAUUCUUUUUUCUUUUAUGGAGGUGAAAUACAAUUAACCAGUCUAAAGUAGUUUGGUAGUAUUUAAUAGAUUCACUUACUGUGCACCCAUUACCUCAGUUUUCAGAACUCUUUCAUUAUUCCUGAAAAGCACCUGUACCCAUUUAGUAACCAUUGCCCAUUUCCCCUUCUCCCAUUGCCCAGUCACC